UUCAAAUUUGUCCACAUAAUAAUGCAUUCACAAUUGCACUCUCAAUUCUUUAUGAAAAAAGCAAUUGUACUCUCAACUAGGAUGACCAAAAAUAAUACAACUCUACUACGAUCAGUACAAGAUUGAGACUAUGAUACUUAACUAGGUUUGAUGGCCUGCGGCUCAAUCAGUAGUUGGUUUUUGCUUGUAGAACCUCUCAGUCUUUACUUAAUUUUUCGAGUCUAAUGAGAUCAA
rnacentral:lncRNA from 1 species